rnacentral:rRNA from 1 species
UACGGAGGGUGCGAGCGUUGUCCGGAAUCACUGGGCGUAAAGGGCGCGUAGGCGGCUUCUCAAGCGUGUGGUGAAAGUCCGGGGCUCAACCCCGGAUCGGCCGUGCGGACUGGGGAGCUCGAGUUCUGUAGAGGAGAGUGGAAUUCCUGGUGUAGCGGUGGAAUGCGCAGAUAUCAGGAAGAACACCCGUGGCGAAGGCGGCUCUCUGGAACGCAACUGACGCUGAGACGCGAAAGCGUGGGGAGCAAACAGG